UCAAACGAAAGGAGAGUAUGAAACAGAUGGAAAGUUAGGUGAUUCUACAGAUGUAGAUCUUACCUUUUGGGCAAAAUGUGAAAGGCAACUAAAGUUGGAGGUGCAAGAAGAAAACAAUGGGAUACAGGAAGAAACUCCCAUUGAACUGUAAUAGUACAAACUCCUAUUGUUAGGCCCAUCAUACUAGUUAGCAUUCUUGGGCCACUAUUAGGCUCAUCAUAUUAGUA
rnacentral:sRNA from 1 species